GACAGAGGGUGCGAACGUUGUUCGGAAUUACUGGGCGUAAAGCGUGCGCAGGCGGCUUCUCAAGUCAGGGGUGAAAGCCCAGAGCUCAACUCUGGAAUUGCCUUUGAGACUGAGUGGCUUGAGUACGAGAGAGGUGAGUGGAAUUCCCAGUGUAGAGGUGAAAUUCGUAGAUAUUGGGAAGAACACCGGUGGCGAAGGCGGCUCACUGGCUCGUAACUGACGCUCAUGCACGACAGCGUGGGGAUCAAACAGG
rnacentral:rRNA from 1 species